rnacentral:tRNA from 1 species
AGCGGCGGGGCUCAGUGGAAAGAGCCCCGGCUUGGGAGGCGGAGGUCAGGGGUUCGAAUCCCAGCUCCGCUU